UUCUCAUCUGUUCUCCUCCUCCUUCUUCUUCUUUCAGUCGAACUCAGUCCAAAGGAUUGAGCUUAGUUUGUGGGAAACUCAUAGUAUUAUAGUGAGAUAGUUGAAUCAAGAGUCUUAUUGAGAAGUUUCAGAGAUAGAAGUGAUGUUCAGAGAGAAUCAGUGAGUUAGGGUUUCGAAAUUCAUUUGGAGUUCGAUUUAGGUGAUGAUUAAGAUAAUUAGAAGGUAGGUGUUGAAGAACACGAUGUAAUGAAGGUGAUUCUGCAUAAUUAAGGAUGGGUUUGGUUGAAUCGAGAAGUUGAAUGAAUGAUGUGAACUCGAAUUGGGGAUUGAGAAUCAAUUUAGGGUUCAUCUGAAGGUUGAUGGUGAUGAUGAUUUGGUCAGGAUUGAUUAUAAGGCUGAGAAAUUGAGAUGGGUUAUAAGAGUGUGUUAUGGUGAAGAGGAAAUCGAUUUCAAUUGCUUGAACAAAGUUUGACUUAAGAUAGUCUUUAUUAACAACGAUCGAUUCAAAGGAUGAACCAGUGGAUUGUAGAUCUCGAGGUAGGCAUGGCUUGUCAUCAAUACAGGUGGGAACUCUGUAACCUUCUUGUAAUCAUUAAGCUUUAUUUUAUCUGCGAGCAUGAUGAGUCUUUACUAUUUGAGUGCAUGAUAGCGUAUACUGUGAUUUUCUAUUUCCCGUAUCUUGAGUAUGAUGUAUAUGUUGUAUCUAUAUGUACGGUAUUGGUAUGAUGUGUUGUGUUUGAUAUGCAUUGUGAGAUUUCCCUGCGAGGAGUGUUUGUGUUUCCCCACGGCUCUUAGUUAAGUUAAGUAAGGAGGUAAUUCAUCCGUCGAAAAUAUUAUUUAGUAGGGCGGUAAUUCAUCCGUUUAAAUAUUAUUAUAACUAUUUCAUUAGUAGAGCGGUAAUUCAUCCGUUAUAGUAUUAUUGCUUAUUAAUAUAGUAGGGCGGUAACUCAUCCGUUUGAAUAUUACCUAGUAGGGCGGUAAUUCAUCUGUUAUGAUAUUAUAUAUACUAUUUUAUUUGAGGGAAAUCACUCUUGUGCAUAUCAUAAUUAUUUGACUAACUUUCGGAUCUUGAUGGUAAUAUUCUGAAUCAUAGUUUGUAUGGGCACUUUGUGUGGAUGAUUUUAUUAUUAUUGGUUAGGGUUGUUCUCGCGUCGUCUUCUCCAAUGUGUUUGGCGAGGUUAGGAUAACACUUCCUUCUUGUUGCAUGAAUUUCUGAAUGCUUAGAUUCAUUACUCUUCUUUCCAAUUUCUGUUUUUGAUACUGUGAAUCAUGUUAGUGAUUACUUGGAAGUUAUAUGUUUCUUUGGGAACCCUCUGGGACGAUGUGCUCACUUGUUCCCACUUCAGUUUCAGUAAUCAUAAGGAAUGAAGCAUGCGAAAAUAUCCGUUUUCGUAGCUUAGUGCUCUACCGAAUGUAGUGUUGGUGUGUAUCUGUAUUAUAUGUAUUAUUUCCUUAUUCUGUAAAACAACACAUUUAUAUAUUUAUAUAACAUGAGAGACUUUCAAACA